CCAUACAACAGCUCCCUCCUAGUGGCGGUCUAUCUCUGCGGAUGCUCCUCUCUCCUUUUCGUUUUCCGUUCUUCCCUCCAUCACCACCAUCUCCCACAGCCGGCGGCGGCGCCGCAGCAGCAGCAUCAGGCGAUUCCCUUCAGGUUCUGCAAUCCGGUUCCCUUCCCCAAUUUCCUGCUCGCAAGAAAGUGGUUAAUCCAUUUCUCGUCGGCAAAAACGAUUGAUGGCCCAACCUCCGCGCCAAUCGACUUAAGCCUUGCCGCUUGCCCUGAUCCGUCCAAACCUUCCUGUAAUCCACUUUUCUCCCUUCCCCGACCUAUUUCCAGGGUUUCAUCUCGGUUCGUGCAGUGCUGACCCUCUCCCGUUCUCGUUCUUCCUGUUUGGCUUCGAUCGGUAGUCAUCCAUGUCAUGGGCCUCGUCCCCGGCGCAGGGUCCACGGCCGCUGUCGUUGGCGGAUGGAGCUGCUGGGAGCUGAAGAGGAAGCGCCCCAAGGAGCAGGACCUCCUGGAGAACUCGCAACUUUCCUCCAGCCGCGAUCGGUCUCCACUGGGUUAGGGCUCUCAUUGGACGACCGGAGGGUCGCAUCUUCGUCCGGGGAGUGGCCUCUUAUCAUCCUCCCGACGAUCGACGAGGACAUUGAUCGCGAGGUGCGGCGGAUCGACGCGGAUAUCGAUUGGUUCAUCAAGUUCGAGGGUGGUGGUUAUUGUUAAGAGUUAAGGAAACUAUCUGUACAGGAUUGGUAUUGUCCAAAUCUCGGUCCAUCAAACUAUCUGCACAGGAUUCACAGAAACGUUCAUGUGUAAUGAGCAGCGACCAUUGGACAUCUGAUAUCCUUGUUGCAAUCUCUACCAACUGAUCUAUGGUGAGACACAUUUUGCAGAAUGUAAGACUUUCUGGGCCAAGUUCAAGGUCAUUACAAGUAGCACCAUUCACUCCAAUCUUUGGCAUAUUAACUAAUGCAAAUACCAGUUGCUUCAGAACCGAUUUGUUCCUACAAUGCCAAGAGAGCUGCCUCCGAUCAUCACCCCUGUUAAUUGCUCGCAGAGAGGACAUUGUCUAGGCUACGUUCACAGCCACAUGAGGUGUUGGUCAAGCACGAGAAAGGACAGGAGAGUCUGUCUUAUAUCUGUGGAACCAAAUUUUACGUGAUUUCUUCGGUGUUUAUACCGAAUGCCAAGAAUGACUUGUUCAGGUAAUACAUCUUUCUUGCUUUUCUUUCCAUCUUCUAUGCAGUUUCGAUAUAAUGAAUUAGGCUCAUCUUUAAAUAUUGGAUAUUUGAACUCACUGCUUUGUUUAGCACUUGAAUUAAUUGAUUAUAAUCUCUGCAAAUCAUCAGGAAUGAUAAGCAUUUGACACGGGAAACAAGUCUAGCAUUAUACUUUCUUUAGAAUCUCAAGUUGUAUCAUCUCAUGAUUUUAUGAUCCUACAUACCCAAAAUAAACCAAAUAUUGAUUAUAAUAUCUGGACAGGAUCUAUAUCGAAAUCUUAUCAUACGGUAGGGAAAUUUCUCUCUUUUUUUUCUUUUAGAAUUAUAUGUUUCUUGAUUUGUUUAUUGCAUACUUAAGAGACUCUUUGUUCGAGCACUCUCAACAUCCUGCCUUUUUUUGGCUUAGCUGUUGGUAUGGUGUCACUCAUUUGACAUCAUGAUUUAUGCAUCUUAUUUUAUGCUGUAUGUUGUGAUUCACUUUCUUCUGCAUUUGGACUAAUUUUAUUAUGACAACAUGAUAGAUGUCGGUACACAACAAUCAUGCAUUUUGUUAUUCAAUCAAUACAUGGAAGCUGUCAAGGCGCAGACCAAAUUAUCAUCACUAAGCCUUCUUUUGUAUCCUCUAGUGUUGCUCAAGUUGCUCCCAUUAUUUAUUUUCUUUUAGAAGGUUGAUCGUGACAUCCAGCUUAUCAAAGUCCCAGAUAUUGUAAUCAUCAACAGUUUGUAAUGCCUCACUAAACCCCAUCAAGCUUUCAUUUUAA